CCCAGAGAGUGAAGAACAGGAGCAUGAAGAGGAUGGUUCAGAGACAGAGGCUGAUGGCCAGGAGGACCUAGAAGAUUUAGAGGAGGAGCAGGACGUGUCAGAUAUGGGUGGUGACAAUCCUGAAGUGAGUGAGAGAGCUAAACUCAAGCAAAUUCGAUCUGACGAAAAGCCCAGUUCUCAGUGAUGAGGAUUCUGACCUUGACUUUCAUAUCAACAAAUUGGAACAGCAGAGCAAGGUGCGAAACAAAGGACACAGGAAACCAAGAGAAAAGUCCAUAGUAGACGAGAAAUUCUUCCAACUCUCUGAAAUGGAGGCCUAUUUAGAAAACAGAAAAAGAAGAGGAACGAAAAGAUGGUAAUGAUGAUGACGUGGAAGAUACUGAUUUUUUUUAAGAUAUUGAUUCUGAUGAAGAUCAAGGGGGACUGUUUGGAAGUAAAAAACUUCAGUCAGGUAAAAGUUCCAGAAAUGUGAAGGACAAAGACUUUUUUUGAUCCAG
rnacentral:lncRNA from 1 species